rnacentral:rRNA from 1 species
CGUCAAGUCAUCAUGCCCCUUAUGACCUGGGCUACACACGUGCUACAAUGGCCGGUACAGCGCGCAGCGAACUCGCGAGGGUAAGCAAAUCGCUUAAAACCGGUCUCAGUUCAGAUCGGAGUCUGCAACCCGACUCCGUGAAGUCGGAAUCGCUAGUAAUCUCGGGUCAGCAUACCGAGGUGAAUACGUUCCCGGGCCUU